AGCCCUUCUGUAAGUAGGGCUGCGCUUUUUAUAAAAAGCGCAGCCCUUCAUAAAAAAGGGCUGCGCUUUUUUUAAAAAGCGCAGCCCUUCAACUGUAGGGCUGCGCUUUUUCAAAAUGCGCA